UACAGAGGGUGCAACGUUGCUCGGAAUCAUUGGGCGUAAAGAGCGUGUAGGCGGCCCGAUAAGUCCGCUGUGAAAGUUCAGGGCUCAACCCUGGAAUGCCGGUGGAUACUGUCGGGCUCGAAUCCGGAAGAGGUGAGUGGAAUUCCUGGUGUAGCGGUGAAAUGCGCAGAUAUCAGGAGGAACACCAAUGGCGAAGGCAGCUCACUGGGCAGUAACUGACGCUGAGGAGCGAAAGCGUGGGGAGCGAACAGG
rnacentral:rRNA from 1 species